rnacentral:rRNA from 1 species
UACGGAGGGGACUAGCGUUGUUCGGAAUUACUGGGCGUAAAGCGCACGUAAGCGGAUUUGUAAGUCAGGGGUGAAAUCCCGGGGCUCAACCUCGGAACUGCCUUUGAUACUGCAAAUCUCGAGUCCGGAAGAGGUGAGUGGAAUUCCUAGUGUAGAGGUGAAAUUCGUAGAUAUUAGGAAGAACACCAGUGGCGAAGGCGGCUCACUGGUCCGGUACUGACGCUGAGGUGCGAAAGCGUGGGGAGCAAACAGG